rnacentral:rRNA from 1 species
UGCAACUCGAGUACAUGAAGUUGGAAUCGCUAGUAAUCGCGAAUCAGCAAUGUCGCGGUGAAUACGUUCUCGGGUCUUGUACACACCGCCCGUCACACCACGAGAGUUGGUUGCACCUGAAGUAGCAGGCCUAACCGUAAGGAGGGAUGCUCCGAGGGUGUGAUUAGCGAUUGGGGUGAAGUCGUAACAAGGUAUCCGUACGGGAACGUGCGGAUGGAUCACCUCCUUUCUAAGGAGAAAAAGUCUUUCUCUAUUCUAUUGGUAAUGUUCUUUACAUUACUUCUGAACAUUGGAAACUAUAUAGUAGAACAAAAAUAACUCUAACAAUUUCUUAGAGUUAGCUGUCAAAAAAUAGAUUAAAAUAAUUAAGGGCACACAAAGGAUGCCUAGGUAGUAAGAGCCGAUGAAGGACGUGGUAAGCUGCGAUAAGCCUAGAUAAGUUGCAAUCGAACGUAAGAGUCUAGGAUUUCCGAAUGGAGCAAUCUAUUAAGAUGGAGUCUUAAUACGAAAGAGGGAACCGCGUGAACUGAAACAUCUAAGUAACGCGAGGAAAAGAAAGUAAAAACGAUACCCAAAGUAGCGGCGAGCGAACUGGGUCAAGCCUAAACCUUAAAUAUGUCAAGGAUACAGCCGUUGUAUUUAAGGGGUUGAGGGACAGAGUUGUGAAGAACUGUAAGAUAUUCAAUAUAGUGUAUUGAUGAAUUAGAAUUGUCUGGAAAGGUGAACCGCAGAAGGUGAAAGUCCUGUAUAAGUAAAUCCUUACACAUAUAACUUUGCUCCCAAGUAACAUGGAACACGAGGAAUUCUGUGUGAAUCAGUGAGGACCAAAUCUCAUAAGGCUAAAUACUCUUACUAACCGAUAGCGCAUAGUACCGUGAGGGAAAGGUGAAAAGAACCCCUGGAGGGGAGUGAAAUAGAACCUGAAAUUGUGUGCUUACAAGCGGUCAGAGCCCAUUAGGGUGAUGGCGUGCCUUUUGGAGAAUGAUCCUGCGAGUUACGUUAAACGGCGAGGUUAAGUAUAACGGAGCCGAAGGGAAACCAAGUCUUAAUAGGGCGAUAUAGUCGUUUGGCGUAGACGCGAAACCUGGUGAUCUAAACCUGUCCAGGAUGAAGCUGUGGUAAGACACAGUGGAGGUCCUAACCCACCGCCGUUGAAAAGUUGGGGGAUGAGGUAGGUUUAGGGGUGAAAAGCCAAUCGAACCAGGAGAUAGCUCGUUCUCUCCGAAAUGCAUCUAGGUGCAGCCUUGAGUGUUCAAUUAUGGGGGUAGAGCACUGAAUGAUCUAGGGGGCAUAUUGCUUACUGAAAUCAAUCAAACUCCGAAUACCAUAAUUUAUAGCUCAGGAGUGAGACUAUGGGAGUUAACUUCCAUUGUCAAAAGGGAAACAACCCAGACCACCAGCUAAGGUCCCUAAUUAUAACUAAGUGGGAAAGGAGGUGGAGAUUCACAAACAACUAGGAGGUUGGCUUAGAAGCAGCCAUACCUUUAAAGAGUGCGUAAUAGCUCACUAGUCGAGAGUCUCUGCGCCGACAAUGUAACGGGGCUAAGUUAUAAACCGAAGCUGUGGAAUCCAUUUGGAUUGGUAGGAGAGCGUUCUGUAGGCCGUUGAAGAAGAAGGGUAACCAACUUUGGAGGUAUCAGAAGUGAGAAUGCAGGAAUAAGUAGCGAGAAAGGGGGUGAGAAUCCCCCUCGCCGGAAGACCAAGGUUUUCAGGGUAAAGCUUGUCUUCCCUGAGUAAGCCGGGACCUAAGCCCAGGCUAUAAUGCGUAGGCGAAUGGAAAACAGAUUAAUAUUUCUGUGCCAGUCAUGUAUUGUGAUGGAGGGACGCAGAAGGGUAUGCACGCGGACGAUCGGUUGUGUCCGUAGAAGUAUGUAAGAUGACUUAGUAGGUAAAUCCAUUAAGUUAUAUCUGAGGUAUGAUAUACAGUCGUAAGAUGAAUGUGCAAAUCCCACGCUGCCAAGAAAAGCUUCUAACGUUAAUAUAUGACUGCCCGUACUGUAAACCGACACAGGUGGUCAGGAUGAGAAAUCUAAGGCGGACAGGCUAACUCUCGUUAAGGAACUCUGCAAAAUAACCUCGUAACUUCGGGAGAAGAGGAGCCCUUGUGUGUGAGUAUACAUGCGAUACAAAGCGCACGAGGGUCGCAGUGAAGAGGCUCAAGCAACUGUUUAACAAAAACACAGGUCUAUGCUAAGCUGUAAGGCGAUGUAUAUGGGCUGACACCUGCCCAGUGCUGGAAGGUUAAGAGGAGGAGUGAGAGCUCCGAAUUGAAGCCCCAGUGAACGGCGGCCGUAACUAUAACGGUCCUAAGGUAGCGAAAUUCCUUGUCGGGUAAGUUCCGACCUGCACGAAUGGUGUAAUGAUUUGAGCGCUGUCUUGACGGGAGGCCUGGUGAAAUUGUAUUACCGGUGAAGAUACCGGUUACCUACAGUAGGACGGAAAGACCCCAUGGAGCUUUACUGUAGCUUGGUAUGGGUUUUGGCAUUGCAUGUAUAGGAUAGUUCUCGAUUCGCCCUAUAGGAGUCGACA